GCCCGGGUGGCGAAAUUGGUAGACGCAACGGACUUAAAAUCCGUUGACCUUAUGGUCGUGCGGGUUCAAGUCCCGCCCCGGGCACCA
rnacentral:tRNA from 1 species